rnacentral:lncRNA from 1 species
CUCACUGGGCACUGCAGGGGAACCAGUCUGACAGGACCCUGGAGUCAGUGGAGAGGGGAAAAAAAGAAAACCUGCAGAUGAAUAGUGUUUUGAGGCAGUAAUAUCAUAGGAGAACCAUGUAUUACAGAGACAAUAUGAUAUAUCCCAGCACCAGGAGUGGGUCAGAAAGACCAGGAUAGGAUGGCACAUCUGCCGUCUUGGCAGAAAUCAAACUGCAGCCUGCGGUGGGACUUGAGCUGGGUUAGGUACCACUGCCUGCGUCAGGAGCAGACCCAGAGUACAAAUAACAUAACGUGGAGAGUUUUUUAAGAAACUGAAAAAAGGAUCCAGUUCUGGGAAUCCUGAUGAGAGUCCCAGCUUCGAAACGCAGGAGAAAAUGGGACUGGUGCCAAUUGCACCUGGCCUCCGCCGGCAGACACCUGAAUAACCCAGAGGCUCCGUCGGGCAGCCUCCCCGCCGCCUUCCGCAGCGAGCCGGCGGUGCCGGCCCGCGGGCCCUCGGGGCUCCAGCCGGGGCGCUGCGCCGCGGCUCCUGCGGCAAAGCCCCCGGCCCUGCCUCACGCACGGGAGCGGCGCCACCGCCCCGCGUACCCCCGGAUCGGCUUCCCGGCCCCGCCUGGAGGUGAGGGAGGGCCCGGCGCUCCCCGCCCGGCGCCACGCGGGGGGAGUUUCUCCUCGGCGCGGGCAGGUGGGGCCGCUCCCCCGCCCGCCCCGCCUCAGCCCCGCAGGACAGCGCGGGCAUCCCGCGGUGUUCCCGGCUCGGCCGCUGCCCCUCGUCGGGAGCCGCCGCCAGCAGCAACAGGUCCGUGCCCGCUCCUCCCUCCGCCUGCCAGGCGAACAAAGCGGCUGAGCGCGGCCCCGCGCCCGCCCAGCCCCUCCGCCAGCCCGGCCCCCGCUCUUCAGCCAUUUGCCUCGCCUGGCAUCGCAGCGCCGCUCCCACCCGCCUUCCCGGCCUCCCCCGCCCGCUCCGCUGCCUGGGCGAGGCGCCGGGGCCGCUGCGCUGCGGGAGCUGCCCCGGAGCCGUGCGGGGCUCGUCGGCCGCCGCCGAAAGGGGCAAUGCAUAUGAGGAGCACUGAUACGAAGAAAACUUCCCGAAGGUCAUGCAAAGGCAAACUUGGCUAGUGGGGAAUCGCCUUCCAGAAUAGACCGCAGCCUCAGCCUUCCACUGAAAUAGUUGCACAAGGUGAAUAUGUUAUGAUAGUACUCCUAAGUAUCUGCCAUUAAAGGAGAUUUUUGCUUAUCACCCGGCGCAGU